UUGCCUCUGUUUUUCCCUAUGUAUAUUUUUGUCCUUCAUGGGCUUUUUUAUUUUGAUUUUGGUUUGUGGGGACUUUUUUAAUUGUGGUGAGAACAAUUUCUGACCACAGGAAGAAUUUAAUUAUGGUGAGAUCUGUUCUCUUAACAGGUUAAGUGUACAAUUCAGUGCUGUUAACUGUAGGACUGUGCAGCACAGCAGGUCUCCAGAACUUAUUCAUCUUGUGUUACUAAAACUUUCUACCUAUCGUUUUAGCUAAGGCUUUCUGAGCAUCUACUACAUGGCAGGCCCUGUUCUAGCAGUACAUACAUUUACUUAAUGAAUCCUUCACAUAUCCACGUAAGAAAGUUCAGAAAGAUGGCACAGCUCACUACAUUAGCCCACAAGAGACUGCACCAAUUCGGAAAGUCUACAAUAAUGACGUCUGUGAGGUGAUUUACAUUUGAUGACCCCACUGACUCCACCCACCACCCAUGAGAGCAACAUUGUUCUACUCAUUUACAACGGGAGAUGGAAGACCACUCAAUCCAUACAUAUUUGCCUGUGUGUGUAGAGUCCUGCACCAGACCCUGUGGGCGCACAGGAGUUGGGCGCUCAGAGCCCACGGCCUCUUGGAGUUCUCUGUCUGGCAGGAAGGGGAGACAUGAGUAAGCACCCAUGGGAUGUGUGUGUGCUAUGGAAAAAUCUGAAACAAAGCCAGAGGAGCUUCACUUGGUCUGGGAGGGGAGCAAUGACAAAAACCAAUCCACCCAGGGUCCCAUGCUCCCAAGCUGUGUGUCGCCUCAUCAUGGGACCAGCACACUGUUUACAGACCUGUUUGUCUACCCCUGGCCUCCAGUUAGUAUCUGAGCUCCUGAGCAACACAGGUGAUUAGCCUGUGUCCUAAUCACCUUCAUAAGCCCAGCACCCAGCAAAGGGGCUGGCAUCUGUGGCUGCUCAGUAAAUAUUUGCCCAGUGAAAGCCCUACUCCUUCCAUGCCCCAAAGGCCUCCCUCCUUUCAUUCCGUGGACCUUCCUCUCCUGCACAAUAACCCACAGAGGUUAGGACAGUGGCUCCUUAGCCCGGCCCUGACCAUUAGUUUCCAACCCAGAGAAGUUCCACUUAUGUUAACUAUUCCAAGUAUAAUAGAAUAAAAGUGUUGUGUGGGGAGGAGAGGGGCCAGCAGUUUUCAGACACUUGCUCUGUGCUGCGCACUCUGUCUUUAUCACCUUAAAUCUUCUAACGAGCCCGGAAGUCGGUAGGAAGUGGCAGGGCUGGGAUCUGCACCCGGGCAGUCUGUCUCUUGUGCUCACGUGCACUAUGUUAUGCAGCCCCUUGGCUCCUUCCUCCAAGCAUCAGUCAGUGGCCAGUGCUGCUCUCAGCAAAGGGCAGACCUCAAAGACUGUCAUUUAGGCUUCUUCCCCUACACACUGGGACCUUCCUAAAAUCAGAAUAUUCUUCCGGAAGCUCCAUGGUCACUCUCUGAAAGCCACAAAGCAUCUUCCCAGGAUUUCACAUUUCCAGUCUCUGGCCUCUUAUUCCUGAAGAAACUCUAAAGGACACGGGGAUCCAGGCGCAGUCCACUGGGUUGAACCAACCAAUGAAACUGACUCCUGAAAGAUACCAUUCUCCAUCUGCUCACCUGGGGAGUAAAAUCAGUGAGCGUAAUAACAAUAGAAACAAGAAUGUAUAUCCUUGACUGAGCUCUUACUGGGUGCUGGCCUUCUGCUAAGCCCUUCUCAAAUAUCAUCUCAUUUACUCCUCACAGCAACCAUCAGAGGUAGGUACUAUUUGAUCUCCAUUAGGUAAAGUUCUUGAGAACAGAGCUCUGAUGGUUUGGGCCUUCCAGGAAGCUGACACCAAGACAGAAUUAGACAUGGAAGAGCUUCAUUGGGAGAAACAUCUCUGAAGGAUAAAGGGGAAGGAGCAGAGAUGAAAACAGAACAAGAAGGUGCCACCUAUGAACCCAGAAGUGGGCCCUCAUCAGACACCACAGCGAAUCUGCUGGCACCAUGAUCUUGGACUCCAGCCUCCAGAACUGUGAGAAGCCAACUUCUGUUGUUCGUAGGCCACCCAUCUGUGGUGUUUUGGUAUAGCAGCCUGAAGGAACUAAGACAAGCGUCAACCUCGCCACUUUCUGGAGUGACAGGAAAACUGGAGCCUUUGGAACUAAGCAAGGUACCACAUUUUGAGGGAGCCCAAGUUACAGGGAGAGGACACAUGAGGAUGUUCAGACAACAGCCCUAGGGAGGCCCUCAGCCAACAGCCACAGUAAACCAUGAGACAAGCAAGUGAACAAGCCUUCAGAUGACUUCAGCCCCAGCCUUCAAGUCUUCCAACUGAAUAUGCCCCCAGGCACAGUGAAGCAAGGACUGCCAUUCUGCUGUGCCCUAUCUUAAUUCUUGACCUGUGGAAAUUAUGUGAGAUCAUAAAUGGUGUUUAUUAUUUUUUAGCCACUGUGCUCUGAAGUACUUUGUUACACAGCAAUACAUAACUAAAACACAGUCCAAGAACAAAACAGCAAAUGAUUAUCAGCUCAUAUGCUAACUCCAAUCAACUGACAGUUGUCUGGAGAAAGGUGCAUCAGGGCUGAGAAAGAAAAAGAAGAUGGAAUCAAACUAGCGAAGUCUACCAUAAGCAUGGACGUGGGAAGUGACAAUACUGUUUUUUUAUUUGCCAACCUUGGUCUAAGACAACUGACUACAGACCCAGGAAAACAAAAAAAAAAGUUCCAAGAGGGAACGGGAGAAAAAGGCAUGUAGAGUGGGCAGCAGAAAAAGCACUAGGCUUGGCAAUAAGAUACAAGGAUUCAAAGCUCAACUAUGUACCAGCUGGGAGAACUUAAGCUAGUUGUUUAAUCUGGCCCUCAACUCCCUCAUCUGCAAAAUUACAGAACUGUUGUGAGAGUUAAAUUAAAUGUGAUCAUGAUACAGAUGUCUGGCAACAGUAGGUCCUCAACAAAUGGGAAUGUGGUGGGAGUCCUGGCAGAACUUAAGCAAAAUUUGGAUGUGGGAAGGGAGAUGGAUUGGAGGUCUAUUUGACUCUCAAAUACAGAACUGUCACGUGACAUUCGAAGCCUUCCCAAAGCUUUAUUUCCCAAGUGUGUUCUGUGAAAUACUAGGACUGUUGGACAUUAAUAGCACAUUCUGUAAAACACUGGUUCUGUGGAUGUUUAAUAGGUGUUACACAGAUAAAAAGAGUUUGCAUGUAUCCACUUACCAUAUGGCCCAGCAAUCCCAUUUCUGGAUAUUCACCUCAGAGAAGUCAACAUUUAUGUUCACACAAAUACCUGUACAUGAAUGUUUAUCGCAGCUCUAUUCAUAAUCCCCAAAGGCUGGAAACAACUCAAAUGUCCUUCAACAGGAUAAACAAACUGUGGGACACUCAUACCAUAGCAAUGAAAAAGACCAAACUCUUGAUACAUACAACAUGGAUGAAUCUCAAAGGUAUCACCUGAGUGAAAGAAGCCAGUCUCAAAGCCAGUAUAAUUCCAUUUAUAUGACUUUUUUGUGAAAAAGAAAACUAUUUUGGGGAAGAACAUGUCAGUGGUUGCCAGGAGCUGGGGGGAGGGGGUGUGACUACAAAGGGAUAGCACAAGGGAGUACUGGGGUCUGAUGAAACUGUUUCAUAUCCUGACUGUGGUGGUGAAAGGGAGCAGGACCCUGUGGGCACCCCCAACCCCUGCCUCUUGUUUCUAGAAAAGCUGAAGUCUCCCAGGCCUCUCUGAGUCAUAGAAGAGCAGGCUCAAGCAGUUGAUUAGGACAAGCCUGACUGUAGAUCUCACCUUCCCUUCCAAACAGACCAAAGGGUUCUUCUUCUGAAAACAGAACUGUGUACAAGUGAACAGAUACUGGUAACAAAGUGUGGAAGAUUAUGCAAAAAAGAAUGUCAAGAGAGCUCUUUCUCCAUGACAGCAAGAAAUUGUUUACAAAGGAAAAUGUAUGCUGAAACCAAUUCAUUUUUUUCCUUUGCUUUUAUAGCACAUUAGGUUUUUCUUCCGGGAUUUAUUGAGUCAUGAAACACAUUAACUGUGGCAGGCUGAGUUUCAAUUAAAGGCAGGAGGCAAGGGUCAUUUACCUACAACUAAAUACUUCUUCAAUAAUAACAGACUCAUGAACAAAGGGAACUUGUUCUGAGGAGAAUAUGAGGAAUUAUGACUAUAGCCAUCAUUUUUAUUCAGACACAAAUGACUCUAGGCCAGAAAAUCAUAUUAGCUGAAAACAUAACUUGGAACCCACUGCUAAUACCAGGAAACGUUUCUUGCAUGUGGGCAACUCGCUACCAAAAUCAGCAACCAUGAUGAUUGGGGAAAAAAUACCCUAGCUUCUCAACUUACCAUCUCUCUUGACAGGAUGACUUAGAUUUUAGUUUUACAAAGUACCAGAAUGUUAUCAUAGACUAAACAAAUUCUUAAAAUAAAAUGAUAGUCCACAUUUUAAAAGCAACGCCAC